rnacentral:rRNA from 1 species
UACGGAGGGUGCAAGCGUUAAUCGGAAUUACUGGGCGUAAAGGGUGCGUAGGUGGUAGAUUAAGUUAUCUGUGAAAUCCCUGGGCUUAACCUGGGCAGGUCAGAUAAGACUGAUAUACUCGAGUAUGGGAGAGGGUAGUGGAAUUUCCGGUGUAGCGGUGAAAUGCGUAGAGAUCGGAAGGAACACCAGUGGCGAAGGCGGCUACCUGGCCUAAUACUGACACUGAGGCACGAAAGCGUGGGGAGCAAACAGG